rnacentral:rRNA from 1 species
UUGGAGGGCAAGUCUGGUGCCAGCAGCCGCGGUAAUUCCAGCUCCAAUAGCGUAUAUUAAAGUUGUUGCAGUUAAAAAGCUCGUAGUUGAAUUUCGGGAUUAGUACGUUGGUCGUGCCUUAGGUACGUACUGGUGUUACUGGUUCCUACCUUCUGACGAACCAUCAUGUCAUUAAUUUGGUGUGGUGGGGAAUCAGGACUGUUACUUUGAAAAAUUGAGUGUUUAAAGCAGGCUCGCGCUUGAAUACAUUAGCAUGGAAUAAUGAAAUAGGUACG